GCGGCGGACGGGUGAGUAACGCGUGGGAAUUUUCCUCAAGGUACGGAACAACUCAGGGAAACUUGGGCUAAUACCGUAUGAUGUCUAGCGACCAAAGAUUUAUCGCCUUGGGAUAAGCCCGCGUCAGAUUAGGUAGUUGGUGGGGUAACGGCUCACCAAGCCUGCGAUCUGUAGCUGGUCUGAGAGGACGAUCAGCCACACUGGGACUGAGACACGGCCCAGACUCCUACGGGAGGCAGCAGUGGGGAAUCUUGCGCAAUGGGCGAAAGCCUGACGCAGCCAUGCCGCGUGAAUGAUGAAGGUCUUAGGAUUGUAAAGUUCUUUCGCCCGUGACGAUGAUGACGGUAACGGGAGAAGAAGCCCCGGCUAACUUCGUGC
rnacentral:rRNA from 1 species